rnacentral:rRNA from 1 species
CCUACGGGUGGCAGCAGUGAGGAAUAUUGGUCUAUGGACGCGAGUCUGAACCAGCCAAGUAGCGUGAAGGAUGACUGCCCUAUGGGUUGUAAACUUCUUUUAUAAAGGAAUAAAGCGAGGCACGUGUGCCUUUUUGCAUGUACUUUAUGAAUAAGGAUCGGCUAACUCCGUGCCAGCAGCCGCGGUAAUACGGAGGAUCCGAGCGUUAUCCGGAUUUAUUGGGUUUAAAGGGAGCGUAGAUGGGUUGUUAAGUCAGUUGUGAAAGUUUGUGGCUCAACCGUAGAAUUGCAGUUGAUACUGGCAGCCUUGAGUACUGUUGAGGCAGGCGGAAUGCGUGGUGUAGCGGUGAAAUGCUUAGAUAUCACGCAGAACUCCGAUUGCGAAGGCAGCUUGCUAAGCCACCACUGACGUUGAUGCACGAAAGCGUGGGUAUCAAACAGGAUUAGAUACCCCAGUAGUC